CCAGCUGAAAAGCUGAAACGAUUGAUUUGUUGUGAGAGAAAAACACUGUUCGGUGGCUGAUAAGCUGGCUGAUAAAGCUGAAGCGAACAAGCUGAUGAUUGAUUGGUUAGAUGAUAUAAUGACGCGUGGUCAAGCACCGAGAGCGGGGAUCCAGAGGGACACCUUUUAGAGAUCCGGCCUAGGGUUAGUUCGUGCGCAGGGAUUCGAGAGACGUUUAGGGGAGUUAGCGUAUGAUUUUGCUAAGAGAGUUUUUAGACAGGUUCAUACCGCUUCGAAGUGUAAUACCUUACAUCCUGUGUGUUGUGUUGUGCUAGAGUUGUCUCUCUUAUUUGUCCAAG
rnacentral:lncRNA from 1 species